GACGAACGCUGGCGGCGUGCUUAACACAUGCAAGUCGAACGAAGAGCGAUGGAAGCUUGCUUCUAUCAAUCUUAGUGGCGAACGGGUGAGUAACGCGUAAUCAACCUGCCCUUCAGAGGGGGACAACAGUUGGAAACGACUGCUAAUACCGCAUACGAUCCAACCUCGGCAUCGAGGAUGGAUGAAAGGUGGCCUCUAUUUAUAAGCUAUCACUGAAGGAGGGGAUUGCGUCUGAUUAGCUAGUUGGAGGGGUAACGGCCCACCAAGGCAAUGAUCAGUAGCCGGUCUGAGAGGAUGAACGGCCACAUUGGGACUGAGACACGGCCCAGACUCCUACGGGAGGCAGCAGUGGGGAAUCUUCCGCAAUGGACGAAAGUCUGACGGAGCAACGCCGCGUGAGUGAUGACGGCCUUCGGGUUGUAAAGCUCUGUUAAUCGGGACGAAAGGUCCUCUUGCGAAUAGUUAGAGGAAU
rnacentral:rRNA from 1 species